GUGAGCUUUGAGGGGCGGGUUCUCUGCUUUAGUCCUCUGACACGUCAAAUCCGGCAGAUUGACUGGAGCUAAAACACAGAAUUAGCUACGAGGGGGAAGAGGCAGUGUAAUUCCUUACAAAUAUCCACGACAUGUUACAUGCAAGCAGCCCUGCAUUGUGCAAUGCUAGCCCGCUAUGCUCUUUACAUAACGGCCAGGAGCUCAUGCGGACUGCAUGCCAAGUGAUCCGCCACUGCAGCAGCCAGCUGGGCACGACCACAGGUGGAAUCAGCCAUACGUGUUGGAUUCCGAAUCCCAUCCAGAAGUAGAGACUGGAUACUCCCAAGUUUCUCAAGAAAAGAGAUGACUUCAAGACGUAUUUCAAUGGGCAGAUGGAGGAGGAAAAAAUGCCCCGCAGUAGAACUGGCUUACAGCUUCUAAAGAGCAUACAAUGUAUUAAGAGAUGAAUUAAGUCGUCUUCGUCCACCAUGAAGGCUCAUGUACCAAAAGCACCGCCCAUCACUACAAAAACUACAAGAUCGCCACUGCCAGCUAGGACGUUACCAAGUGAUACCAAAAAGUAUUUUUCACAAUUACAAAUUAAGUGAAUAAAAUUUGCACAAAUAAAUGGUACUUUUCUGUAGCACAAACACAAAAGCAGACUCAAGAAGCAAUUAACAGUUU